rnacentral:rRNA from 1 species
CUGUGAAACUGCCAUUGAUACUGCAAGUCUUGAGUGUUGUUGAAGUAGCUGGAAUAAGUAGUGUAGCGGUGAAAUGCAUAGAUAUUACUUAGAACACCAAUUGCGAAGGCAGGUUACUAAGCAACAACUGACGCUGAUGGACGAAAGCGUGGGGAGCGAACAGGAUUAGAUACCCUGGUAGUCCACGCCGUAAACGAUGCUAACUCGUUUUUGGGGCUUUAAGCUUCAGAGACUAAGCGAAAGUGAUAAGUUAGCCACCUGGGGAGUACGUUCGCAAGAAUGAAACUCAAAGGAAUUGACGGGGGCCCGCACAAGCGGUGGAUUAUGUGGUUUAAUUCGAUGAUACGCGAGGAACCUUACCAAGGCUUAAAUGGGAAAUGACAGGUUUAGAAAUAGACUUUUCUUCGGACAUUUUUCAAGGUGCUGCAUGGUUGUCGUCAGCUCGUGCCGUGAGGUGUUAGGUUAAGUCCUGCAACGAGCGCAACCCCUGUCACUAGUUGCCAUCAUUCAGUUGGGGACUCUAGUGAGACUGCCUACGCAAGUAGAGAGGAAGGUGGGGAUGACGUCAAAUCAUCACGGCCCUUACGCCUUGGGCCACACACGUAAUACAAUGGCCGGUACAGAGGGCAGCUACACAGCGAUGUGAUGCAAAUCUCGAAAGCCGGUCUCAGUUCGGAUUGGAGUCUGCAACUCGACUCUAUGAA